UACAGAGGUCUCAAGCGUUGUUCGGAUUCAUUGGGCGUAAAGGGUGCGUAGGUGGCAUGGUCAGUCGGAUGUGAAAUCCCGGGGCUCAACCCCGGAACUGCAUUCGAUACUGCCGCGCUAGAGUACUGGAGAGGAGACUGGAAUUUACGGUGUAGCGGUGAAAUGCGUAGAUAUCGUAAGGAAGACCAGUGGCGAAGGCGGGUCUCUGGACAGUUCCUAACGCUGAGGCACGAAGGUCAGGGGAGCAAACGGG
rnacentral:rRNA from 1 species